GAUGGAAGAUUUUCAAGCAGGGGUGGGAAGCAGCAUGGAGUACAUCUCCAAAGAGGGCUGGGCCCUGGUGGUGUGAGCUUGGGAAAGUCACUUCCACUCUUGGUCUCAUUUCCCAAUCUGCACUAGGAUGGGGUUGGAAUUAAGUGAACGUCAGACAUUGUCACCCUCUGCGUGAAUCCCUUCAGGAACUCCCAUUAUAUAGAAUCUGACCCAGUGCCUCAUCUCAGGCUAGGUGGUAGACAACCUGGACGGUGGCUCCCAACAAUCCUACCUCCUGGUCUCCACAUCCUGUGCGACCACCUUGCCUCACUUUGGAUUGGACACACCCUCAGUGUGGUUUGGACUCAGGGACUCGCUUCUCAAGAAUGUUUUUGUUAGGUGGCACUGAGUCGAUUUCAACUGAUGAUGACCCUAUUUGGGGGCGAUGUUUCCUGGCUCUCUUUUAUUCCUUCUCUCUCUGUCUCUCUCUCAGUCAUCACUCUCUCUGUCAUUUAUUUCUCUCUCUCCUCCCGGGAAGCAGCUGUGAUGUAUGACCUGCUCAUGGAGAGACUCAUGUGACAAAGACCUGAGGGAGGGUCCUGAUCAACAGACAGAGAGGAAGUGAGGCCCCCCAGACCAACAACUCACAGAGUCCUGCUUAUAACAUGGAAAUGAGUAGGGAGCAGAUCCUCCCCAGUCAAGACUCAGUUGAGACCACAACCAGAAGCUCCUGAGAACUUGGGGCAGUCACCAGGCUGUUGCGGGUGGCUGCUUCUCCCUGAGGAAACUGUGGCAGAAUGCUACUACCAGCCCACCGCCGCCGCUCCAGUUUUUGCAGUAACAUGUAGAUUUUAGAGACCAGUUGCUGAUCGGAGAUGUCACCAAGGGUAUAGAUCGUUAUGGAAGCAGACUACCACAUCUUUCUCCUAUGGAGUAGCUGGUGGGU